UUCAUUUGACUCACUUCAUUGUGAUAUUUGCUUGAUUUCAGUGUUCGGAAUCAAACUGCAAUGUCUCCAAGGUAUACCUAUACCUUUUCUGUUUACUUGCUGUAUUUUACAAUAAAGAGAUAAAAACCGAGAAGCAAAAAGGGACAAAAGCAAUACCUUCUUUCCCUGAAAAGAAAACAUAUGAGGGAAGAAAACAUGUCAAAACAGGCAUUUUAAGCAGUCAUCUGUUCUACAUGUCUUGCUUUGUGGUGUUGGAUCACAUUCACAUGCUAUCAGCGAAGGGCCAACUCAGAUUCGGAAACAUACCGAGAAAAAGGCAGGAGACAGGCUGAAAGAACAGAAUGUGAGAAAUUUCCUCCAUGUAACAACAGUGCUCAAGCACUUUCAGGAGAAAAUCAGGGUUAUUGAGGACUUUGUCAACACGAGCCUGGAAGCCAACAUUGAAAGUCUGAUCGCCCAGCAGUCUGCUUUCCCUCCUGUCCUGUGAAGAAGAGUGACUCCUUUCAUAAGUCAUAAUUGGGAAUGGAAUGCAUUGGUUGAAGGAGAGAAUGGGAAUCAUAUCCUCAGCUCCCUGGUUUAUUGACUAGAACUCCAAAUCUGUGAGGAAGUUCUUGAAUGGUCCUCAGAUCCUUCUGAAGGAUUCUCCUGCUACUCCAAAGCCCACCCAGAUACAUUGUGGGUGGGGUGAAGGUGGGAAGCAAGACAGAGAACGACCAAUGUCGAAACACUCUCAGUUCUCAAUCUGAAUGUAAAGGAGCUUCAUCUGCUCUGGAGCUGGGUGGAAGGAGGAAAAGCUAGUUCUGGCUGAAAACCGGUCACUUCCUAAAUGAUUCCAUCCUAAAGCUUGAUGGUAGGUUGAAUAAAAAAGCUAAGAAGUUUCCGUCUUCCAUCUCUCCUAUCUUUACUGAGCAAGAUAGCUCAGAUGUCUUCGCCCAAAAGAGCAUCUCAAACUAUUAUCUCCCUACAUUAUUAUUUUUUUAAUUGGCCUAGAUAAACUGGUGAAGUGGUAAGAACGAUCUCAAUCACAUUAGUCUGUUAAACAUUUUCAGGUGCUUUUGU